rnacentral:tRNA from 1 species
GCUCCCGUAGCUCAGUUGGAUAGAGCGGGUGUUUCCUAAACACUAGGUCAGAGGUUCGAAUCCUCUCGGGAGUACCA